UACGGAGGGUGCAAGCGUUAUCCGGAUUCACUGGGUUUAAAGGGUGCGUAGGAGGGCAGGGAAGUCCGUGGUGAAAUCUCCGAGCUUAACUCGGAAACUGCCGUGGAUACUCUCGUCUUGAAUCCCGUGGAGAUGAGGCGGAAGUAUGUCAUGUAGCGGUGAAAUGCUUAGAUAUGACAUAGAACACCAAUUGCGAAGGCAGCUCGUUACACGAAGAUUGACUCUGAGGCACGAAAGCGUGGGGAUCAAACAGG
rnacentral:rRNA from 1 species